rnacentral:tRNA from 1 species
AAUUGUGGUAAAUGCUGCGUUUCUGCCCUCCGAAGGCAGAGGCCACAGGUUCGAAUCCUGUCGGGUGC